rnacentral:rRNA from 1 species
CCCCGAGGAAAAGAAAUCAACCGAGAUUCCCCCAGUAGCGGCGAGCGAACGGGGAGGAGCCCAGAGCCUGAAUCAGUGUGUGUGUUAGUGGAAGCGUCUGGAAAGGCGUGCGAUACAGGGUGACAGCCCCGUACACAAAAAUGCACAUAUUGUGAGCUCGAUGAGUAGGGCGGGACACGUGGUAUCCUGUCUGAAUAUGGGGGGACCAUCCUCCAAGGCUAAAUACUCCUGACUGACCGAUAGUGAACCAGUACCGUGAGGGAAAGGCGAAAAGAACCCCGGCGAGGGGAGUGAAAAAGAACCUGAAACCGUGUACGUACAAGCAGUGGGAGCCUCUUAAUGGGGUGACUGCGUACCUUUUGUAUAAUGGGUCAGCGACUUAUAUUCUGUAGCAAGGUUAACCGAAUAGGGGAGCCGAAGGGAAACCGAGUCUUAACUGGGCGUUAAGUUGCAGGGUAUAGACCCGAAACCCGGUGAUCUAGCCAUGGGCAGGUUGAAGGUUGGGUAACACUAACUGGAGGACCGAACCGACUAAUGUUGAAAAAUUAGCGGAUGACUUGUGGCUGGGGGUGAAAGGCCAAUCAAACCGGGAGAUAGCUGGUUCUCCCCGAAAGCUAUUUAGGUAGCGCCUCGUGAAUUCAUCUCCGGGGGUAGAGCACUGUUUCGGCAAGGGGGUCAUCCCGACUUACCAACCCGAUGCAAACUGCGAAUACCGGAGAAUGUUAUCACGGGAGACACACGGCGGGUGCUAACGUCCGUCGUGAAGAGGGAAACAACCCAGACCGCCAGCUAAGGUCCCAAAGUCAUGGUUAAGUGGGAAACGAUGUGGGAAGGCCCAGACAGCCAGGAUGUUGGCUUAGAAGCAGCCAUCAUUUAAAGAAAGCGUAAUAGCUCACUGGUCGAGUCGGCCUGCGCGGAAGAUGUAACGGGGCUAAACCAUGCACCGAAGCUGCGGCAGCGACACUAUGUGUUGUUGGGUAGGGGAGCGUUCUGUAAGCCUGUGAAGGUGGCCUGUGAGGGUUGCUGGAGGUAUCAGAAGUGCGAAUGCUGACAUAAGUAACGAUAAAGCGGGUGAAAAGCCCGCUCGCCGGAAGACCAAGGGUUCCUGUCCAACGUUAAUCGGGGCAGGGUGAGUCGACCCCUAAGGCGAGGCCGAAAGGCGUAGUCGAUGGGAAACAGGUUAAUAUUCCUGUACUUGGUGUUACUGCGAAGGGGGGACGGAGAAGGCUAUGUUGGCCGGGCGACGGUUGUCCCGGUUUAAGCGUGUAGGCUGGUUUUCCAGGCAAAUCCGGAAAACCAAGGCUGAGGCGUGAUGACGAGGCACUACGGUGCUGAAGCGACAAAUGCCCUGCUUCCAGGAAAAGCCUCUAAGCAUCAGGUAACAUCAAAUCGUACCCCAAACCGACACAGGUGGUCAGGUAGAGAAUACCAAGGCGCUUGAGAGAACUCGGGUGAAGGAACUAGGCAAAAUGGUGCCGUAACUUCGGGAGAAGGCACGCUGAUAUGUAGGUGAAGCGACUUGCUCGUGGAGCUGAAAUCAGUCGAAGAUACCAGCUGGCUGCAACUGUUUAUUAAAAACACAGCACUGUGCAAACACGAAAGUGGACGUAUACGGUGUGACGCCUGCCCGGUGCCGGAAGGUUAAUUGAUGGGGUUAGCGGCAACGCGAAGCUCUUGAUCGAAGCCCCGGUAAACGGCGGCCGUAACUAUAACGGUCCUAAGGUAGCGAAAUUCCUUGUCGGGUAAGUUCCGACCUGCACGAAUGGCGUAAUGAUGGCCAGGCUGUCUCCACCCGAGACUCAGUGAAAUUGAACUCGCUGUGAAGAUGCAGUGUACCCGCGGCAAGACGGAAAGACCCCGUGAACCUUUACUAUAGCUUGACACUGAACAUUGAGCCUUGAUGUGUAGGAUAGGUGGGAGGCUUUGAAGUGUGGACGCCAGUCUGCAUGGAGCCGACCUUGAAAUACCACCCUUUAAUGUUUGAUGUUCUAACGUUGGCCCGUAAUCCGGGUUGCGGACAGUGUCUGGUGGGUAGUUUGACUGGGGCGGUCUCCUCCUAAAGAGUAACGGAGGAGCACGAAGGUUGGCUAAUCCUGGUCGGACAUCAGGAGGUUAGUGCAAUGGCAUAAGCCAGCUUGACUGCGAGCGUGACGGCGCGAGCAGGUGCGAAAGCAGGUCAUAGUGAUCCGGUGGUUCUGAAUGGAAGGGCCAUCGCUCAACGGAUAAAAGGUACUCCGGGGAUAACAGGCUGAUACCGCCCAAGAGUUCAUAUCGACGGCGGUGUUUGGCACCUCGAUGUCGGCUCAUCACAUCCUGGGGCUGAAGUAGGUCCCAAGGGUAUGGCUGUUCGCCAUUUAAAGUGGUACGCGAGCUGGGUUUAGAACGUCGUGAGACAGUUCGGUCCCUAUCUGCCGUGGGCGCUGGAGAACUGAGGGGGGCUGCUCCUAGUACGAGAGGACCGGAGUGGACGCAUCACUGGUGUUCGGGUUGUCAUGCCAAUGGCACUGCCCGGUAGCUAAAUGCGGAAGAGAUAAGUGCUGAAAGCAUCUAAGCACGAAACUUGCCCCGAGAUGAGUUCUCCCUGAGACUUAGAGUCUCCUGAAGGAACGUUGAAGACGACGACGUUGAUAGGCCGGGUGUGUAAGCGCAGCGAUGCGUUGAGCUAACCGGUACUAAUGAACCGUGAGGCUUAACCUU